rnacentral:rRNA from 1 species
CAGUCGCCACGGUAAUGCGUAGGUGGCAAGCGUUGUCCGGAAUUAUUGGGCGUAAAGCGCGCGCAGGUGGUUUAAUAAGUCUGAUGUGAAAGCCCACGGCUCAACCGUGGAGGGUCAUUGGAAACUGUUAAACUUGAGUGCAGGAGAGAAAAGUGGAAUUCCUAGUGUAGCGGUGAAAUGCGUAGAGAUUAGGAGGAACACCAGUGGCGAAGGCGGCUUUUUGGCCUGUAACUGACACUGGGGCGCGAAAGCGUGGGGAGCAAACAGGAUUAGAUACCCCCGUAGUCCCUGUCUCUUAUAC